rnacentral:tRNA from 1 species
UGAGGUGUAGCUCGGUGGUAGAACACUUGCCUAGCAUGCGUGAGAUCCUGAGUUCAACCCUUAGUACUUCAA